GGUUCGUGGUGUGAAUUGUCUGCUUAAUUGCGAUAACGAACGAGAUCACUCCCGAUCAAUAGGUGGCUCCUCGACCAGUAGGAUUCGUACCUCAACGGUUGAUUCCGAGAGGAAGCAUACUUCUUACAGGUACUGCGUACGUAUUGUAGUACGCGGACGAUUGUGGCAAUAGCAGG
rnacentral:rRNA from 1 species